AGAGUUUGAUCAUGGCUCAGGAUGAACGUUGGUGGUGUGCCUAAGGUAUGCAAGUCGAACGAUCCUUUGGAUCUUUGAAACUUCGGUUGAUUAGAUCCUUUUUGGAUAGUGGCAAACGGGUGAGUGACGCGUAGGUAAUCUACCUCGAAGCCGGGAAUAGCCAUUCGAAAGGAUGGGUAACACUCGAUGGUCAGUAAUAUCUUCGGAUUUUUACUGUAAAGCUCUGGCGCUUUGAGAGGGGCCUGCGUCCUAUCAGCUUGUUGGUAAGGUAAAAGCUUACCAAGGCUAAGACGGGUAGCUGGUGUGAGAGCACGGACAGCCACAAUGGGACUGAGACACGGCCCAUACUCCUACGGGAGGCAGCAAUUAGGAAUCUUGCGCAAUGGGGGCAACCCUGACGCAGCGACACCACGUGGAGGACGAAGGUCUGCGGAUCGUAAACUCCUUUUAUAUGGGAAGAAUAAAUGACGGUACCAUAUGAAUAAGCGCCUGCUAACUACGUGCCAGAAGCAUCGGUGAUACGUAGGGCGCGAACGUUAUCCGGAUUUAUUGGGCGUAAAGAGAUGCGUAGGCGUCUUAGCAAGUCUUUGUGUCAAAGCUCGGGGCUCAACCCCGAAAAGGCGCGAGAAACUGCUAGGAUUGAGAUAGAGAGAGGUGAAUGGAAUUCUCGGUGGAGUGGUGAAAUACGUUGAUAUCGAGAGGAACACCAGUGGCGAAGGCGAUUCACUGGCUCUAUUCUGACGCUAAGGNUCGAAAGCGUGGGUAGCAAAACGGAUUAGAUANCCGUGUAGUCCACGCCGUAAACGAUGGAUACUAGGUGUUGGUCACANUUAUCUUUUUUCNU
rnacentral:rRNA from 1 species